AUACGGAGGGAGCGAGCGUUAAUCGGAAUUACUGGGCGUAAAGCGCGCGUAGGCGGCUUUGUAAGUCGGAUGUGAAAGCCCUGGGCUCAACCUGGGAACUGCAUUCGAUACUGGCAAGCUAGAGUAUAGUAGAGGCAAGUGGAAUUCCGGGUGUAGCGGUGAAAUGCGUAGAUAUCCGGAGGAACAUCAGUGGCGAAGGCGACUUGCUGGACUAAUACUGACGCUGAGGAGCGAAAGCGUGGGGAGCAAACGGGAUUAGAAACCCCAGUAGUCC
rnacentral:rRNA from 1 species